AAAAAUAAAUAGGGCUUCUUCUGAUUAACAUCACAACAAUAUUCUGGAAAUAUACAUAGUGGAGCUUUCUUUUACAAACUAAAGGUUUUUUUUGUUUGGGUUUUUGGAAAAAGGUGAAGUAUUUUUAAGACUGGUUCAGCAAGAAGUCUCUGAAAGGUUUAAUACAAUUACAUGUUGUGACUAAGUGUGUUAAUUGAACUGUGAUGAACAUUGAUACAGUGGCCAUGAAACUAAUAAGAUGAUAAGUCUAUGUUGCAGAGAACUUAGAACUGUCAGACAUUGUAAGAUGAGACACAUGGGAGAAAAUUGGUUAAGAAUUAGAGAGAAAAAUUGCUGCUGAUAAAAAAUAACUUUGAAGAUUUUUCCUUUAAUAUAAGAGUAAUGCAAGAUCUAAUGAUUACAGCUAAGCUAAGAGUACAAUAAUUAUGAAUGGAAAUAUCUGGAUGUGUGUUAGAAAAAUGUAAAUGUAAUAAUUUAAAAUAAAGCUACAGGCAUUUGGUUUGUUUUAAGAGUUUGCUUUCAGGAAGGUUCUGUUGUUUUUAACCUUAGGUAAGGGAGAGCAAAUGGUUUUCUCAGAUAAGGAAUGUCUCCUUUAUCCAACUUUGCAUGAAGCUGGUGAUUUAAUUAUCACCUCUAUCCAACUUUGCAUAAAGCUGGUGAUUUGAUUAUCACCAGCAAUGAAACUUGCUCCCUUCUUUGUUUUCCAACCCCACAUGUUGUAAACUCAAGACUGUGAUUAAAUCCUUCCGACCCCAUGUGAUGUGUGACAAUAAAGACAGGGACAGAGGCAGUCCGGGGCAGUCGAACUCAAGCUUGUGACAGAACAGGUCUCAAUUCUCCUGGUUCGUCUGCCCUCUUCCUUGGUGAAGAGUAAAAAACUUGCGUUUGUGUUUGGUUUUCUUUCCAGGAUAAAGAGGUUAUUAAACUUAACCCUAUCAAUGUGAAAGUGUUUGAAGAAGGUAAAUGACACAAGAUUGGGAGUCUUUAUUAGAACACUAAUUACACCUUGUUUCUGUUCCUCAACAGUAAACAAGGCCAGGUGUCUGUCAACCAUCUUCACAGAGCAUUUUACUGGGAAUAAAAUGCUUAUUGCCCGAGCCAGGACCGAACACUUAUUACCAUCCAACUAAAUCGUUUUGUCUAUGCUGAUGAACAAGAAAAGGACUUGAGAAGUUUUGGGAGGAACACGACAGAGAACUGUGAUUUCUUUCUUUUUCUUUUGCAACGAAGAAGCAGUUGCCUGAGAACCCUGAGCCGACCACUUAUGCACAAAUAGAUUCAUGUCUGCCACAUGCUCAGAAUGGCCUGACGGCUUUUUGCGUUAUUGACGUUGUUCUGGAGGAGUGCCGAUCAGCCCGAUGGUGGAGGGUGUCGUCCACAAACCUCACUAUAUUUGAGUUGAAGGUGCCGAUGCAUUACUGAGUAAAGAUGGAAAUCAGGAUGGGGCCAAUCACACACCAGCCUAUUCAGCCGUUACAGUGGCCUAGAUCUCUAUCUAACAGCGUUUUGGGGUGAACUUGAAAAUAGAUGUUAGAUGCUCUCCUUCCAAUCUGGCUGAGCUUGAACUAUCUGGCAAAGAAGACAUAGGAACGGUUUCAGAAUUUGAGAUGUGUGAAGCUAGCAGAGACAUGCCACAGCAUUCCUGCAGUUGUAAUUGUGGGAAAAGAUGGUUUUCACAAGCUAUAGAAUUUGUUAAAUAUGCAUGCCAUAUCUUAUUUGUAAAAUACUUCUUUCUGUUUUGUCAUGGCCGGCCAAAAUCCCAAAGAAAACAUUAAGGUUUUUGGUUGUCAGAUGGCAAAAGUUUAAAUAAUAUUAAUAUUUUGGGAAGGUACUAUAGUUCAUUAUUUAAUUGCUGAUAAUGCAGUUUUUUUCCCCACUUCUGUCAGAUGUACUUAUGUACUUUUUAACCUCCUGUAACUCAUAUUUCAUAAGCAGACAACACAGCUACAGCAGCCAGCUUUUUUUCUUACACUUCAUUUAUGUUUACACGCUCUUGGUAAAAUAAAGGCAAGUUCAAUAAAAGAGUACAUCAAGUGACUCUGCAGCUAUUUAGGUAUCUGGUCAUGUUUUAAGUGGAAAAACCUAAAGCAAAUAGUGCUUUUUGUUAUUUUUGAAGCCCCAUGUUUUGUGUGUGGUGUCAUCUCUGUCAGUGUUAUUGAUAGAGGUUAUUUUCAUUGUGCCUUUCUCUAUAUCUGCUGCUCGCUGUUUCAUUUUUCCUCUAAGUUUAAACCCGCCUGGGCUUAGAGAUUUGUCAGAGCUGACCUGAGAAGACCAACAUUUCCGCUGCCUUAGGGUUUAUACAUAACCCUCUGUCCUGUGGACAGCAUCUCAAUAGCAACAACAUUAGACGCAUUUAUCAGCCAUCCUGGCCAAAUGGGUUUUGAAUUUCACAGUAAGUGUUUGGCAGGUACUUCCAAUUACCAAACACGCUGUGUUGACCCUCAAGGGUGGUGGUAUGAUGAGGAGCGAUAUAGACGUAAGAAGGUUUUAUUCUGUUCAAUCAAUAUGAUUUUUUAUAGACAAUACGUUUCUGUCAGAAGAACAAUAGCCUCUGCACAACACUAGCGGCUGAAUCAUGGAGUGCUAUAUGUGGAUCAGAGCUCGGGAUUUGUUUCUGUUUCUGUUCAUACCUUCACAACACAAGUUUCCAUUUCGGUUCCUCAAGGAAUUCUUUGAUCAUUUUCAACAGUGUCCCAUUUUGGUUUGAAAUAUAUUUGUCUGUGGUAACCACUCAGCCCUAAUGACCCUGGGUGCACAGGAAGGAAACUUUGGUGUGGGUAAUAUGUGUCGCUGUAAUUAGGAUCCCACCGGUUAUUACGGAUGCCUUUUGAUUGGAUUAUGGAGUGUUGCCAGACUUAUUGUCUGGGAGGCAGAGCUCUGAGCCUUUUGAGCAAAGCAAAGGACCCAAGUGUGUUCAGAUUAAGACUUAUGAGUGCGUAUUUUUUGGAAGAAAUGAAAAUCAAGCCUUACGGGUUGUUACAUCCAUCCAUCCGUCCAUUGUCUAUACCUGCUUAUGUAGGCAGGGUUGCAGGGAUGCUGGUGCCUAUCUCCAGAGCCAAAAACAUGGAAUUCCACACUCUGUGAUAUACUUCAAGACUUUUUUCUAAUAUUUCGACAUUAUAGCUCACAGUUAAUGAAAACAGAAAACUUGUUUCUCAAAAUCUGGAAAAACAUUUCACGAGAUAAACACAUCUCGUCACACAAAUGUUGUAUUUUAGCAGAGUCCGACACAAUAAUUGGGAUAUGUGAUUUGGCCCGUAUCCAGCGGAAAGCCAAUCAAUGAGACUCAUCACAGGAAAAAGGCAAGCCUCUAAAUAUGGUUAUUUCUAAAGAAGCAGCCUAUUUAAAGAACUGUAUCCAAACAUAUUGAUAGAAGUUUUGGUAGUAAAAAAAAAAAAAAAAAAAAGCGUGGUGGGCAAGCAUCUGUUGGUGACGGCUCACCAUCUGGUAGGACAGCUCUCAGCCAAUCACACUACGAGUCUCACAGUGCAUUGCAUCAGCUACUCACAGCUCUAGAUAUGGGUGCACACAAGCUGCACUUUUGGGAAAGUCCUAUGCAGUAACAAAACGUGCUGCACUUUCCAAAUUGCCAGAGCAAUGAGCUUGCAGGUCAUGUCACUGUUUAUUAAGCAGAAAAAUACCCUCCCCCAAAACAUGCAAUUGUUUUGUGAUGUGGAGAGCCCCUGUAAACAUCUUUAUCAGCUCUUAGGACUGUUAUCUAGCAGCACACUCAGGGUAAGGUAGGACUCUGUGGCCCCCGUCCAGAUUUCUCUGAGAUGUUGCUCUAACUCUGCCUCCAACCUGCUCGUUUGCUGUACAUGUUUGGUUGCCAGAUGUUCUCGAUGAUGAAGAUGAACAAGAUGGUACACAUAAUCCAACUUACUGAUGCACACCUCCAGAGGAUUUAAAUUAAAUUCUACAGCUGAAAACCAAACCCCAAACAUUAUUGUGUUCCUUACCAAGAAAUGAUGCCAAGCAUGACAAAAAAACUCCAAAAUAAAAACCAACAAAAAAAAAAA